UACGUAGGGCGCAAGCGUUGUCCGGAAUUAUUGGGCGUAAAGAGCUCGUAGGCGGCUUGUCGCGUCUGUUGUGAAAGCCCGGGGCUUAACCCCGGGUCUGCAGUGGAUACGGGCAGGCUAGAGGCAGGUAGGGGAGAACGGGAAUUCCUGGUGUAGCGGUGAAAUGCGCAGAUAUCAGGAGGAACACCGAUUGCGAAGGCAGCUCGCUGGGACGUUACUGACGCUGAGACGCGAAAGCGUGGGGAGCAAACAGG
rnacentral:rRNA from 1 species